rnacentral:tRNA from 1 species
GCCAUUAUAGCUCGUAAGUGUUAGAGCACUGGUCUUGUAAAACCAGCGGUCGUGAGUUCGAUCCUCACUGGUGGUU